rnacentral:rRNA from 1 species
UACGUAGGGAGCAAGCGUUGUCCGGAAUCAUUGGGCGUAAAGCGCGCGUAGGCGGCCCGGUAAGUCCGCUGUAAAAGUCAAAGGCUCAACCUUUGAAUGUCAGUGGAUACUGCCGGGCUAGAGUCCGGAAGAGGCGAGUGGAACUCCUGGUGUAGCGGUGGAAUGCGCAGAUAUCAGGAAGAACACCAACGGCGAAGGCAGCUCGCUGGGACGGUACUGACGCUGAGACGCGAAAGCGUGGGGAGCGAACAGG